CCUACGGGCGGCAGCAGUGGGGAAUUUUGGACAAUGGGCGCAAGCCUGAUCCAGCCAUUCCGCGUGCAGGACGAAGGCCUUCGGGUUGUAAACUGCUUUUGUACGGAACGAAAGGGCUCUGGUUAAUACCUGGGGCAUAUGACGGUACCGUAAGAAUAAGCACCGGCUAACUACGUGCCAGCAGCCGCGGUAAUACGUAGGGUGCAAGCGUUGAUCGGAAUUACUGGGCGUAAAGCGUGCGCAGGCGGUUGAAAUCCCCGGGCUCAACCUGGGAACGGCCGUUGUGACUGCAAAGCUGGAGUGCGGCAGAGGGGGAUGGAAUUCCGCGUGUAGCAGUGAAAUGCGUAGAUAUGCGGAGGAACACCGAUGGCGAAGGCAAUCCCCUGGGCCUGCACUGACGCUCAUGCACGAAAGCGUGGGGAGCAAACAGGAUUAGAUACCCCAGUAGUC
rnacentral:rRNA from 1 species